rnacentral:rRNA from 1 species
AACGAACGCUGGCGGCAGGCCUAACACAUGCAAGUCGAGCGAGGACUUCGGUUCUAGCGGCGGACGGGUGAGUAACGCGUGGGAAUGUGCCCUUCUCUACGGAAUAGCCCUGGGAAACUGGGAGUAAUACCGUAUACGCCCUAUUGGGGAAAGAUUUAUUGGAGAAGGAUCAGCCCGCGUUGGAUUAGGUAGUUGGUGGGGUAAUGGCCUACCAAGCCGACGAUCCAUAGCUGGUUUGAGAGGAUGAUCAGCCACACUGGGACUGAGACACGGCCCAGACUCCUACGGGAGGCAGCAGUGGGGAAUCUUAGACAAUGGGGGCAACCCUGAUCUAGCCAUGCCGCGUGAGUGAUGAAGGCCUUAGGGUUGUAAAGCUCUUUCAGCUGGGAAGAUAAUGACGGUACCAGCAGAAGAAGCCCCGGCUAACUCCGUG